AACGAACGCUGGCGGCAUGCCUAACACAUGCAAGUCGAACGAGACCUUCGGGUCUAGUGGCGCACGGGUGCGUAACGCGUGGGAACCUGCCCUUAGGUUCGGAAUAACUCAGAGAAAUUUGAGCUAAUACCGGAUGAUGUCUUCGGACCAAAGAUUUAUCGCCUUUAGAUGGGCCCGCGUUGGAUUAGCUAGUUGGUGGGGUAAAGGCCUACCAAGGCGACGAUCCAUAGCUGGUCUGAGAGGAUGAUCAGCCACACUGGGACUGAGACACGGCCCAGACUCCUACGGGAGGCAGCAGUGGGGAAUAUUGGACAAUGGGCUAAGGCCUGAUCCAGCAAUGCCGCGUGAGUGAUGAAGGCCUUAGGGUUGUAAAGCGCUUUUACCCGAGAUGAUAAUGACAGUAUCGGGAGAAUAAGCUCCGGCUAACUCCGUG
rnacentral:rRNA from 1 species